UCAAUUGACCCCCCGUGCUUGAGAAUCAAGUGCUACCGGAUCCCGUCCGCUCUCCGUUAGUCAAACUGGCAAGGGGCAGAUUAGUAGUUGGGUCGGUGACGACCAGCGAACACCGGCUGCUGUAUGUU
rnacentral:rRNA from 1 species